UACGGAGGGUGCAAGCGUUGUUCGGAAUCAUUGGGCGUAAAGAGCGUGUAGGCGGUUGGGUAAGUCAGAUGUGAAAUCCCUUGGCUUAACCAAGGAAGUGCAUUUGAAACUGCCCGGCUUGAGUACGGGAGGGGGAAGUGGAAUUCCCGGUGUAGAGGUGAAAUUCGUAGAUAUCGGGAGGAACACCGGUGGCGAAGGCGGCUUCCUGGACCGAUACUGACGCUGAGACGCGAAAGCGUGGGGAGCAAACAGG
rnacentral:rRNA from 1 species